rnacentral:rRNA from 1 species
UAGGGAAUCUUCCGCAAUGGGCGAAAGCCUGACGGAGCAACGCCGCGUGAGUGAUGAAGGUCUUCGGAUCGUAAAACUCUGUUAUUAGGGAAGAAUAAAUGUGUAAGUAACUAUGCACGUCUUGACGGUACCUAAUCAGAAAGCCACGGCUAACUACGUGCCAGCAGCCGCGGUAAUACGUAGGUGGCAAGCGUUAUCCGGAAUUAUUGGGCGUAAAGCGCGCGUAGGCGGUUUUUUAAGUCUGAUGUGAAAGCCCACGGCUCAACCGUGGAGGGUCAUUGGAAACUGGAAAACUUGAGUGCAGAAGAGGAAAGUGGAAUUCCAUGUGUAGCGGUGAAAUGCGCAGAGAUAUGGAGGAACACCAGUGGCGAAGGCGACUUUCUGGUCUGUAACUGACGCUGAGGCUCGAAAGCGUGGGGAGCGAACAGG